rnacentral:rRNA from 1 species
GNAUUUAUUGGGCGUAAAGCGAGCGCAGGCGGUUAGAUAAGUNUGAAGUUAAAGGCUGUGGCUUAACCAUAGUAUGCUUUGGAAACUGUUUAACUUGAGUGCAGAAGGGGAGAGUGGAAUNCCAUGAGUAGCGGUGAAAUGCGUAGAUAUAUGGAGGAACACCGGUGGCGAAAGCGGCUCUCUGGUCUGUAACUGACGCUGAGGCUCGAAAGCGUGGGGAGCAAAUAGGAUUAGAUACCCUGGUAGUNCACGCCGUAAACGAUGAGUGCUAGGUGUUAGGCCCUUUCCGGGGCUUAGUGCCGCAGCUAACGCAUUAAGCACUCCGCCUGGGGAGUACGACCGCAAGGUUGAAACUCAAAGGAAUUGACGGGGGCCCGCACAAGCGGUGGAGCAUGUGGUUUAAUCCGAAGCAACGCGAAGAACCUUACCAGGUCUUGACAUCCCUCUGACCGCUCUAGAGAUAGAGUUUUCCUUCGGGACAGAGGUGACAGGUGGUGCAUGGUUAUCGUCAGCUCGUGUCGUGAGAUGUUGGGUUAAGUCCCGCAACGAGCGCAACCCCUAUUGUUAGUUGCCAUCAUUGAGUUGGGCACUCUAGCGAGACUGCCGGUAAUAAACCGGAGGAAGGUGGGGAUGACGUCAAAUCAUCAUGCCCCUUAUGACCUGGGCUACACACGUGCUACAAUGGCUGGUACAACGAGUCGCAAGCCGGUGACGGCAAGCUAAUCUCUGAAAGCCAGUCUCAGUUCGGAUUGUAGGCUGCAACUCGCCUACAUGAAGUCGGAAUCGCUAGUAAUCGCGGAUCAGCACGCCGCGGUGAAUACGUUCCCGGGCCUUGUACACAC